CCAAUAGCGUAUAUUAAAGUUGUUGCAGUUAAAAAGCUCGUAGUUGAAUUUCGGGGUUAGUAGGUUGGUCAUGCCUCUGGUAUGUACUGGUCUCACUGAUUCCUCCUUCCUGAUGAACCGUAAUGCCAUUAAUUUGGUGUUGCGAGGAAUUUGGACUGUUACUUUGAAAAAAUUAGAGUGUUUUAAAGCAAGCUAACGCUUGAAUACAUUAGCAUGGAAUAAUGAAAUAGGACGUUCGAUCCUAUUUUGUUGGUUUCUAGGAUUGACGUAAUGAUUAAUAGGGAUAGUUGGGGGGAUUAGUAUUCAAUUGUCAGAGGUGAAAUUCUUGGAUUUAUUGAAGACUAACUACUGCGAAAGCAUUUGCCAAGGAUGUUUUCAUUAAUCAAGAACGAAAGUUAGGGGAUCGAAGACGAUCAGAUACCGUCGUAGUCUUAACCAUAAACUAUGCCGACUAGGGAUCGGAUGAUGUUAAUUUUUUAAUGACUCAUUCGGCGCCUUACG
rnacentral:rRNA from 1 species